rnacentral:rRNA from 1 species
CCUACGGGUGACUGCAGUGGGGAAUAUUGCGCAAUGGGCGAAAGCCUGACGCAGCGACGCCGCGUGAGGGAUGAAGGUCUUCGGAUCGUAAACCUCUGUCAGCAGGGAAGAACGGUCACUGUGCUAAUCAGCAGUGAAUGGACGGUACCUGCAAAGGAAGCACCGGCUAACUCCGUGCCAGCAGCCGCGGUAAUACGGAGGGUGCGAGCGUUAAUCGGAAUUACUGGGCGUAAAGCGCUCGUAGGCGGUAUGUCAAGUCAAGGGUGAAAUCCCCGCGCGCAACGUGGUAACUGCCUUUGAAACUUGCAAACUGGCUUGUGUGGUAGGUUAGUGGACUUCCAGGUG